rnacentral:tRNA from 1 species
GGGGUUGUAGCUUAGUGGUAGAGCAUUUGCCUAGAAUGUAUAAGGUACUGGGUUUGAUUCUCAGCACCA